GCCCGAGUGGCGGAAUGGUAGACGCUGCGGACUUAAAAUCCGUUUCACCUAGUGAGUGUGGGUUCAAGUCCCACCUCGGGCA
rnacentral:tRNA from 1 species